rnacentral:rRNA from 1 species
UCCUCCCUCUUUCUUCGUGCUUAACACAUGCAAGUCGAACGGAAAGGCCCUGCUUUUGUGGGGUGCUCGAGUGGCGAACGGGUGAGUAACACGUGAGUAACCUGCCCUUGACUUUGGGAUAACUUCAGGAAACUGGGGCUAAUACCGGAUAGGAGCUCCUGCUGCAUGGUGGGGGUUGGAAAGUUUCGGCGGUUGGGGAUGGACUCGCGGCUUAUCAGCUUGUUGGUGGGGUAGUGGCUUACCAAGGCUUUGACGGGUAGCCGGCCUGAGAGGGUGACCGGCCACAUUGGGACUGAGAUACGGCCCAGACUCCUACGGGAGGCAGCAGUGGGGAAUAUUGCACAAUGGGCGGAAGCCUGAUGCAGCAACGCCGCGUGCGGGAUGACGGCCUUCGGGUUGUAAACCGCUUUCGCCUGUGACGAAGCGUGAGUGACGGUAAUGUGUAAAGAAGCACCGGCUAACUACGUG